CUUUUGAUAAUAAUUUUAGGUCUAGCCUGCCCAAUGAAAAUUUUAAUGGCCGCGGUAUUUUGACCGUGCAAAGGUAGCAUAAUCAUUUGUUUUUUAAUUGAAAGCUGGAAUGAAAGGUUGAAUGAGAAAAUAACUGUCUCUGUUUAAUUUUUUUAGAAUUUUAUUUUUAAGUUAAAAAGCUUAAAUAAAUUUUGAAGACGAGAAGACCCUAUAGAGUUUAAUAUUUUUAUUAUUUAAAUAAUUUAGAAAUAAUUUUUUUAAAUUUGACAAAUAUUUAAUUGGGGUGAUUAAAAAAUUAAAUUAACUUUUUUUGUAUAUAAUCACUAAUUAGUGAAUUAUUGAUCCUUUAAAAGAUUAAAAGAUUAAAUUACCUUAGGGAUAACAGCGUAAUUUUUUUUUAGAGUUCAAAUCGARAAAAAAGAUUGCGACCUCGAUGUUGGAUUAAAAUUAAUUUUUGGUGUAGAAGCUAAA
rnacentral:rRNA from 1 species